AAGGAUCAUUAGUGAUUAUGAAGGGUUGCCUUCUGUGCUGGCUGCGGCAAGUGCACGAUGGUGGCUUUCAUCCAACACCCUGUGAACCUCUGGCCUCUUGCUGGCUUCGGCUGGCUGAGGAUUUACACAAACUCGCAUGUAUUGAGGACCCUUCAUGUGCGCAAGCACUAAUAAUAUAUACAACUUUCAACAACGGAUCUCUUGGCUCUC
rnacentral:misc_RNA from 1 species